GCCGUGGUGGCGCAGUUGGUAGUCGCGUUGGUCUCAUAAUCCAAAGGUCAUGGGUUCGAUCCCCAUCCGCGGCA
rfam:Guillardia theta CCMP2712 unplaced genomic scaffold GTITHscaffold_130, whole genome shotgun sequence.